rnacentral:lncRNA from 1 species
CCUUGCAACCUCCGCCCCAAGAGUCUUCGCCGCCGGCCAGCGCCACCAUCUUCUCGCAGUGCAAGCAGUCAGCGGCUCAGCGCCUUGUCUACUAACUUGUCGGAGACCCAGUGCCGCUUCAUCGUCGUUGAGCUAGUGGCGCCGCAGCCUCCCCGCGGACGCGGUGCCGGCCGCAGCCGUAGUCUUCUCGUGGAUCCGCCGGCCAACACCACCACCAACCAUCUCGUCCACGACCAUCUCCCCGCUUCUCGUGGCUGCUGCUCGUCGGCUCCUCCACACCUCUCCAGUUGGUACUGCUAUGCUCUGUGCGUAGGAUACACACUGAUCCACUACUUCAUCCACUCCAUGCAGUACACCUGUCAAAUGUGCCUGCUUUGACUGUUUUGUAUACAACAAUACAAGUACCCACCUCUUUCCUCUUGAGAUGUACCCACCUCUCCAUCAACCCCUUUCCUUCUCUCUAGGUGAGUAUUAAAGGUGCACAUGAGCUAGCUAUAUAAUUUUUUUUUGUCUUUCUUCAAUUCACAUGCAUAGAAAAGUUCUAUUAGUUUCUCUGUUAAAUUGUCUAUAUCCAGCUUUACCUUCGUAUCACAUCCAGCUAAAUUGUUCCUUUUCCGUUCACAGGGUGCAUCCUAAACUGCCAGGAUAUAUGCCAUGUGGUAUGCGUUAUUUUUUGCGUGCACGUGUGGAUCAUGACAUGACAUUGCUACAUGCAUGACUGUCCCUUUCGGUUAUAUCUCCAGGAUGGCAUCAGUAUGCACCCCUAGCCUUAGAAGCAACACCAUUUGUUUAGAACCUCUGCAUUAUAGCCACUAAUGUAAAUAGCUGUUGUCAUAUAUAUGGUGUUUGCUUCUUAAAAUCCUUUUGCUUUACAUAAAACUGCAAUCCAGACUAUGAACGAACACUUAUGGUUGAAAUCCUAUAGCUCUUAAUUAUUAUUACUCUGAAUGUCUACUACUUUGCUAUGCUCCUUAUUUUCAGGGUAAACAUGUGCCAUGAAAAAUUGCAUUAGUCAGCCAGCUAUUGUUGAUAAUCUGACGUGAGCUACAUUUUUGUUAGGCUACGUUACUGUUGUUAUGGAAAAAUGGAAAGGUAUUAAACUGAGGUACUAUUGUUGCUAAUCUAGCAUGAGCUAGAUUUUUGUUGGGCUACAUUACUGUUGUUAUGGGAAAAUGGAAAGGUAUUAAGCAGGGGUACAAAUUUGUUGCUAAUCUGGGAUCAACUACAUUUUUUCCCAGUUAGAGUCGUCAUCUCUAGCAGCAUCAGCUUUAUAGAUCUUUGAUCUUAGUUAAUCCUAUUGCAUAGUGCUAUUUUGCCUUAAUUUUCCUUUCUUAUCUUCCGAAAUAGCAUAUCUUCACUUUCCUAAUUAUUUUCUACAAUAAUAUAA